ACGGGAGUGGCAAGCGUUAUCCGGAAUUAUUGGGCGUAAAGCGUCCGCAGGCGGUCUUGAAAGUCUGUUGUUAAAGCGUGGAGCUCAACUCCAUUUCAGCAAUGGAAACUAGAAGACUAGAGUGUGGUAGGGGCAGAGGGAAUUCCCGGUGUAGCGGUGAAAUGCGUAGAUAUCGGGAAGAACACCAGUGGCGAAGGCGCUCUGCUGGGCCAUAACUGACGCUCAUGGACGAAAGCCAGGGGAGCAAACAGG
rnacentral:rRNA from 1 species